rnacentral:rRNA from 1 species
UAAGGAAUAUUGGUCAAUGGACGCAAGUCUGAACCAGCCAUGCCGCGUGAAGGAUGAAGGUCCUCUGGAUUGUAAACUUCUUUUAUCUGGGACGAAAACGGGAUUUUUAUCUCAAUUGACGGUACCAGAGGAAUAAGCACCGGCUAACUCCGUGCCAGCAGCCGCGGUAAUACGGAGGGUGCGAGCGUUAUCCGGAUUUACUGGUUUAAAGGGUGCGUAGGUGGGCUUAUAAGUCAGUGGUGAAAUCUCCGAGCUUAACUUGGAAACUGCCGUUGAUACUAUAGGUCUUGAAUUAUCUGGAGGUAAGCGGAAUAUGUCAUGUAGCGGUGAAAUGCUUAGAUAUGACAUAGAACACCAAUUGCGAAGGCAGCUUACUACAUAUAAAUUGACGCUGAGGCACGAAAGCGUGGGGAUCAAACA